UAUACGUAUUACGUUCAAAGGUAAAAAAAAAAAAGUUGUUUGGUGGACACGCCCACUAACGAUACCGAGUGUUAUUGUUUGCAUUCGGGCGUCAAUUUUAGCUAGGUAUCUUAAUUACAUAACAUAUGAACGUCAUCUAGUCACAACAACGUUAGAAUAGGCCAUAAACUGUAUUCACCAAACAGUUUCGACUGUGGAAAGAAAAGCAUUGCCAUGGCUAACUAGCUAGCUAACUCACUUCAGUGAUUAAAAACAUACGGUCUAUGACAAAGACGACCAUCAACAUCAUGGACAUGUUUGAGGAAGGGAAAGUUCUGAAAAUCUGUGCUGCUAUGGUCCGGUAUUCAAACUGACCAUCCUCUGAUCGUGCAGUUUGCUGCCAGUGAUGCCCAGACCCUGGCUGAUGCAGCCUGUGUGGUUGAACCCUUCUCUGAUGGAGUGGACCUCAACUGUGGCUGUCCCCAACGAAUUCACAAGGACCUGGGAUGUACGGUGGACCUGUGUCAGAAGGCAGAGGCGGCAGGGGUGUCCUGGAUAACGGUCCAUGGUCGGAGCGCCACCAGCCGGUCCACUUUGACGUUAUCAAGACCAUCAAGGUCAGUCUGUCAGUCCCUGUCAUCGCCGACGGAGACAUAAAAGACCCUCCGAGAUGUGGAGACCACUCAUCAGCUCACUGGAGUUGAUGGUGUGACGACAGGCCCGGGGGCUGUUGCCCAACCCGGCCAUGUUCGCUGGCUACAAUGAGACCCCUCUUGAGUGUGUGUGGGACUGGGUGGACCUCGCCACAAACCAGGGGACCCCCUUCACCUGCUUCCACCAGCACCUCAUCUACAUGCUGGAGAGGGUCAGCUCCCAGCCCGAGAGGAAGGUGGUCAACUCCCUGCAUAGCACCGCCGCGGUCAUAGACUACCUCCACAACACAUAUGGAUCCCCAGACACACAGACAGUAAGCCUAUCAUAAACACAGGCUAGGUAUAUUUUAUUGUGUAUGUUAUUAAUUUUAUUGUCAAUGUAAUAAAAUAUUUUAUUUACUAUA